rnacentral:rRNA from 10 species
GAGACCUCAGGUCAGGCGGGGCUACCCGCUGAAUUUAA